rnacentral:rRNA from 1 species
GAUGAACGCUAGCUACAGGCUUAACACAUGCAAGUCGAGGGGCAGCAUGAAUCAAGCUUGCUUGAUUUGAUGGCGACCGGCGCACGGGUGCGUAACACGUAUCCAAUCUACCCAUGGCUCAGGGAUAGCCUUUUCGAAAGAAAGAUUAAUACCUGAUGGUUUCAUGAGCCCGCAUGGACUUAUGAAUAAAGAUUUAUCGGCGAUGGAUGAGGAUGCGUCCGAUUAGCUGUGGCGGGUAACGGCCCACCAAGGUCGACGAUCGGUAGGGGCUCUGAGAGGAGGAUCCCCACAUUGGAACUGAGACACGGUCCAAACUCCUACGGGAGGCAGCAGUGAGGAAUAUUGGUCAAUGGGCGAGAGCCUGAACCAGCCAAGUAGCGUGAGGGAUGACUGCCCUAUGGGUUGUAAACCUCUUUUGUUUGGGAAUAAAGUGAGCCACGUCGUGGCUUUUGUAUGUACCUUACGAAUAAGCAUCGGCUAAUUCCGUGCC